AGAAAUUUUGGGAUGAUAUAUUUAAUAUGAGUAAAACUAUGGGUAUGAAGAUGAUGAUACAGGAUGAUUUGAUAGAUCAGAUGAUGACUGUUGAUGAAUUGAGAUCCAAUCUAACACUGGGACGUCAAUGGUUAAUGGCAAUGGGUAAAUCAGCUGAACGUAAUGGUAUGCCUAUUCAGUAUUCUAAUGCUUGGCCAAGUCAUAUUUUACAAUCUUUAGAAAUACCCGCAGUUACACAGGUCAGAGUAAGUGGUAAUUAUAUGCAACAAGCAGAUCAAUGGAAGAUUGGUAUAACAUCUAUUCUAGUCAAUGCUUUAGGACUGGCACCAUCUAAAGAUACAUUCUGGACUCUGGAACAAGAAUCGGGAAAUA